rnacentral:rRNA from 1 species
AGUGGGGAAUCUUGGUCAAUGGGCGCAAGCCUGAACCAGCGACGCCGCGUGAGUGAUGAAGGCCUUCGGGUUGUAAAGCUCUGUGGGGAGGGACGAAAGACUGAGGUCUAAUAGGCUUCAGGUUGACGGUACCUCCUUAGCAAGCACCGGCUAACUCUGUGCCAGCAGCCGCGGUAAGACAGAGGGUGCAAACGUUGCUCGGAAUCACUGGGCGUAAAGGGCGUGUAGGCGGGAAGGAAAGUCAGAUGUGAAAUCCCCAGGCUCAACCUGGGAACUGCAUUUGAAACUCCCUUUCUUGAGUACCGGAGAGGAAAGCGGAAUUCCUGGUGUAGAGGUGAAAUUCGUAGAUAUCAGGAGGAACACCAGCGGCGAAGGCGGCUUUCUGGACGGUAACUGACGCUGAGACGCGAAAGCGUGGGGAGCAAA